rnacentral:misc_RNA from 1 species
GGUGGAGGCGGUUCAGGCGGAGGUGGCUCUGGCGGUGGCGGAUCGGCCGGUUCGGCC